rnacentral:rRNA from 1 species
AACGAACGCUGGCGGCAUGCCUAACACGUGCAAGUCGAACGAGACCUUCGGGUCUAGUGGCGCACGGGUGCGUAACGCGUGGGAACCUGCCCUUAGGUUCGGAAUAACUCCCCGAAAGGGGUGCUAAUACCGGAUAAUGUCUUCGGACCAAAGAUUUAUCGCCUUUGGAUGGGCCCGCGUUGGAUUAGCUAGUUGGUAGGAUAAAAGCCUACCAAGGCGACGAUCCAUAGCUGGUCUGAGAGGAUGAUCAGCCACACUGGGACUGAGACACGGCCCAGACUCCUACGGGAGGCAGCAGUGGGGAAUAUUGGACAAUGGGCGAAAGCCUGAUCCAGCAAUGCCGCGUGAGUGAUGAAGGCCUUAGGGUUGUAAAGCUCUUUUACCCGGGAUGAUAAUGACAGUACCGGGAGAAUAAGCUCCGGCUAACUCCGUG